rnacentral:rRNA from 1 species
UUCCGGUUGAUCCUGCCGGAGGUCAUUGCUAUUGGAGUCCGAUUUAGCCAUGCUAGUUGCACGAGUUUAGACUCGUAGCAGAUAGCUCAGUAACACGUGGCCAAACUGCCCUAUAGACGGCGAUAACCUCGGGAAACUGAGGCUAAUAGCCGAUACCGUUCACUACCUGGAGUGGUGUGAACGCGAAACGUUCAGGCGCUAUAGGAUGUGGCUGCGGCCGAUUAGGUAGACGGUGGGGUAACGGCCCACCGUGCCCAUAAUCGGUACGGGUUGUGAGAGCAAGAGCCCGGAGACGGUAUCUGAGACAAGAUACCGGGCCCUACGGGGCGCAGCAGGCGCGAAACCUUUACACUGCACGCGAGUGCGAUAAGGGGACUCCGAGUGCGAGGGCAUAUAGUCCUCGCUUUUCACCACCGUAAGGUGGUGGUGGAAUAAGUGCUGGGCAAGACCGGUGCCAGCCGCCGCGGUAAUACCGGCAGCACGAGUGAUGACCGCUAUUAUUGGGCCUAAAGCGUCCGUAGCUGGCCACGCAAGUCUAUCGGGAAAUCUGCGCGCUUAACGCGCAGGCGUCCGGUGGAAACUGCAUGGCUUGGGACCGGAAGACCAGAGGGGUACGUCCGGGGUAGGAGUGAAAUCCCGUAAUCCUGGACGGACCACCGGUGGCGAAAGCGCCUCUGGAAGACGGAUCCGACGGUGAGGGACGAAAGCUCGGGUCACGAACCGGAUUAGAUACCCGGGUAGUCCGAGCUGUAAACGAUGUCUGCUAGGUGUGGCACAGGCUACGAGCCUGUGCUGUGCCGUAGGGAAGCCGAGAAGCAGACCGCCUGGGAAGUACGUCCGCAAGGAUGAAACUUAAAGGAAUUGGCGGGGGAGCACUACAACCGGAGGAGCCUGCGGUUUAAUUGGAUUCAACGCCGG